UACAGAGGGUGCAAGCGUUAAUCGGAAUUACUGGGCGUAAAGCGUGCGUAGACGGUUAUGUAAGUCGGGUGUGAAAGCCCCGGGCUCAACCUGGGAAUGCCAUUCGAGACUGCAUAGCUAGGGUGCGGAAGAGGGAAGCGGAAUUUCAGGUGUAGCGGUGAAAUGCGUAGAUAUCUGGAAGAACACCGGUGGCGAAGGCGGCCUUCUGGACGAUGACUGACGCUGAGACGCGAAAGCGUGGGGAGCAAACAGG
rnacentral:rRNA from 1 species